CUAGUAUUCUACCAUGAGAUAUGACAGGUCUAGUAUUCUACCAUGAGAUAUGACAGGUCUAGUAUUCUACCAUGAGAUAUGACAGGUCUAGUAUUCUACCAUGAGAUA